rnacentral:rRNA from 1 species
GGCCUUAUGGUUGUAAAGCACUUUAAGCGAGGAGGAGGCUACUCUAGUUAAUACCUAGAGAUAGUGGACGUUACUCGCAGAAUAAGCACCGGCUAACUCUGUGCCAGCAGCCGCGGUAAUACAGAGGGUGCAAGCGUUAAUCGGAUUUACUGGGCGUAAAGCGCGCGUAGGCGGCUAAUUAAGUCAAAUGUGAAAUCCCCGAGCUUAACUUGGGAAUUGCAUUCGAUACUGGUUAGCUAGAGUGUGGGAGAGGAUGGUAGAAUUCCAGGUGUAGCGGUGAAAUGCGUAGAGAUCUGGAGGAAUACCGAUGGCGAAGGCAGCCAUCUGGCCUAACACUGACGCUGAGGUGCGAAAGCAUGGGGAGCAAACAGGAUUAGAUACCCUGGUAGUCCAUGCCGUAAACGAUGUCUACUAGCCGUUGGGGCCUUUGAGGCUUUAGUGGCGCAGCUAACGCGAUAAGUAGACCGCCUGGGGAGUACGGUCGCAAGACUAAAACUCAAAUGAAUUGACGGGGGCCCGCACAAGCGGUGGAGCAUGUGGUUUAAUUCGAUGCAACGCGAAGAACCUUACCUGGCCUUGACAUAGUAAGAACUUUCCAGAGAUGGAUUGGUGCCUUCGGGAACUUACAUACAGGUGCUGCAUGGCUGUCGUCAGCUCGUGUCGUGAGAUGUUGGGUUAAGUCCCGCAACGAGCGCAACCCUUUUCCUUAUUUGCCAGCGAGUAAUGUCGGGAACUUUAAGGAUACUGCCAGUGACAAACUGGAGGAAGGCGGGGACGACGUCAAGUCAUCAUGGCCCUUACGGCCAGGGCUACACACGUGCUACAAUGGUCGGUACAAAGGGUUGCUACCUAGCGAUAGGAUGCUAAUCUCAAAAAGCCGAUCGUAGUCCGGAUUGGAGUCUGCAACUCGACUCCAUGAAGUCGGAAUCGCUAGUAAUCGCGGAUCAGAAUGCCGCGGUGAAUACGUUCCCGGGCCUUGUACACACCGCCCGUCACACCAUGGGAGUUUGUUGCACCAGAAGUAGGUAGUCUAACCGCAAGGAGGACGCUUACCACGGUGUGGCCGAUGACUGGGGUGAAGUCGUAACAAGGUAGCCGUAGGGGAACCUGCGGCUGGAUCACCUCCUUAAG